rnacentral:snRNA from 1 species
GCGAAAGAAUAGUUCGCUAU